UACGUAGGGUGCAAGCGUUGUCCGGAAUUAUUGGGCGUAAAGAGCUCGUAGGCGGCUUGUCGCGUCGGCUGUGAAAACCUGGGGCUCAACCCCGGGCCUGCAGCCGAUACGGGCAAGCUAGAAUUCGGUAGGGGAGACUGGAAUUCCUGGUGUAGCGGUGAAAUGCGCAGAUAUCAGGAGGAACACCAAUAGCGAAGGCAGCUCGCUGGGACGUUACUGACACUGAGGCGCGAAAGCGUGGGGAGCGAACAGG
rnacentral:rRNA from 1 species